rnacentral:rRNA from 1 species
GAAAAGGGUGGUAAUGCCGGAUGCUCCAGUUGAUCGCAUGGUCUUCUGGGAAAGCUUUCGCGGUAUGGGAUGGGGUCGCGUCCUAUCAGCUUGACGGCGGGGUAACGGCCCACCGUGGCUUCGACGGGUAGCCGGCCUGAGAGGGCGACCGGCCACAUUGGGACUGAGAUACGGCCCAGACUCCUACGGGAGGCAGCAGUGGGGAAUAUUGCACAAUGGGCGCAAGCCUGAUGCAGCGACGCCGCGUGAGGGAUGGAGGCCUUCGGGUUGUAAACCUCUUUUAUCGGGGAGCAAGCGAGAGUGAGUUUACCCGUUGAAUAAGCACCGGCUAACUACGUGCCAGCAGCCGCGGUAAUACGUAGGGUGCAAGCGUUAUCCGGAAUUAUUGGGCGUAAAGGGCUCGUAGGCGGUUCGUCGCGUCCGGUGUGAAAGUCCAUCGCUUAACGGUGGAUCCGCGCCGGGUACGGGCGGGCUUGAGUGCGGUAGGGGAGACUGGAAUUCCCGGUGUAACGGUGGAAUGUGUAG